UAUAGGGUUUAAAUAUCAUUUAUGCAGUAGAUCCUGUCUGAUCUCGGAAUCUAAGCAGGAUCAGCCCUGAUUAGUUCUUGGAUGAGAAACUGUCAGGGAAUACCAGGGGGUAGGCUAUAU
rnacentral:rRNA from 1 species